rnacentral:rRNA from 1 species
UACGAAGGGGGCUAGCGUUGUUCGGAAUUACUGGGCGUAAAGCGCACGUAGGCGGAUUGUUAAGUUAGAGGUGAAAGCCCAGGGCUCAACCCUGGAAUUGCCUUUGAUACUGGCAGUCUAGAGAUCGGAAGAGGUGAGUGGAAUUCCUAGUGUAGAGGUGAAAUUCGUAGAUAUUAGGAAGAACACCAGUGGCGAAGGCGGCUCACUGGUCCGAUUCUGACGCUGAGGUGCGAAAGCGUGGGGAGCAAACAGG